GUGAAAUUGUUGAAAGGGAAGCGCUUGCAGCCAGACGUGCCCGUAGUUGCUCAUCGGGGGUUCUCCCCCGUGUACUCUUCUAUGGGCAGGCCAGCAUCAGUCCGGGCGGUUGGAGAAAGACCUGUGUCAUGUAGCUGUUUUCGGGCAGUGUUAUAGGGCAGGUGGAAUGCAACCAGCCUGGACUGAGGUCCGCGCAUCUGCUAGGAUGCUGGCGUAAUGGCUGUAAGCGGCCCGUCUUGAAACACGGACCAAGGAGUCUAACAUCUAUGCGAGUGUUUGGGUGUCAAGCCCGAGCGCGUAAUGAAAGUGAACGGAGGUGGGAACCUUUUAGGUGCACCAUCGACCGAUCCUGAUGUCUUCGGAUGGAUUUGAGUAAGAGCAUAGCUGUUGGGACCCGAAAGAUGGUGAACUAUGCCUGAAUAGGGUGAAGCCAGAGGAAACUCUGGUGGAGGCUCGCAGCGGUUCUGACGUGCAAAUCGAUCGUCAAAUUUGGGCAUAGGGGCGAAAGACUAAUCGAACUAUCUAGUAGCUGGUUCCUGCCGAAGUUUCCCUCAGGAUAGCAGUAACGUUUUCAGUUUUAUGAGGUAAAGCGAAUGAUUAGAGGCCUGGGGGUUGAAACAACCUUCACCUAUUCUCAAACUUUAAAUAUGUAAGAAGUCCUUGUUUCUUAAUUGAACGUGGACAUUUGAAUGUAUCGUUACUAGUGGGCCAUUUUUGGUAAGCAGAACUGGCGAUGCGGGAUGAACCGAACGCGGGGUUAAGGUGCCAGAAUGCACGCUCAUCAGACACCACAAAAGGUGUUGGUUCAUCUAG
rnacentral:rRNA from 1 species